rnacentral:rRNA from 1 species
AUCUAGGCUCUUGCAUCGAUGAAGAACGUAGCGAAAUGCGAUACUUGGUGUGAAUUGCAGAAUCCCGUGAACCAUCGAGUCUUUGAACGCAAGUUGCGCCCGAUGCCAUUAGGUUGAGGGCACGUCUGCCUGGGUGUCACAUAUCGAAGCCUCUUGCCAAUUCC